UACGUAGGGUGCAAGCGUUGUCCGGAAUUAUUGGGCGUAAAGAGCUCGUAGGCGGUGUGUCACGUCGUUCGUGAAAACCUGCAGCUUAACUGGGGAACUGCGUCUGAUACUGGAUGGCUUGGAUUUGGGAGAGGGAUGCGGAAUUCCAGGUGUAGCGGUGAAAUGCGUAGAUAUCUGGAGGAACACCGGUGGCGAAGGCGGCAUCCUGGACCAACAUUGACGCUGAGGAGCGAAAGCCAGGGGAGCAAACGGG
rnacentral:rRNA from 1 species